CUAGAAACUGAUCUGAGGAUUAACACAACAAUCUGCACAACCUGAACCACAGAAUUCAGCAGUCUCUCUGACAGCUAUGACUCAGUUUCUUUGGGUAAGAAGAGAAUGGCAACAUCAGCAACAACCUCACAACGCUGCUGUGAGAAUUAAAUGUGGGAACCUGUGGAAAGCCCUCGACACAGUUUCUGGCACAGAUUUGCCAGAGUUAUGCUAUCAUGGAUUACUCGGCCAGUGUUGUCAACUCCUUUGACCUAAAAUGCAAAGUGAAGAAAUGUGAGAUGGAGAUGAUAAAGAAGAACAUUACCAAGAAGAGGAACGGUGUUGAUUGCCCCUGACCUUUAGUGACUCACAUGGAAGUAUCUUUAUGCAUAUGGGAUAUGCAUGAACGUUUAAAAGUACUGGGUCUUCAAAACUAGCCUUCGUAGGACUUCACACAGGGCCAGCUGAUGUCUGGCAGGUUAGACUCUUGCCAAACUCUCUUCCUUGGAAAGCAGACCACCCCGUUCACACGUUUCACCAUUGUAUGGAUGCUUUGACAAACUGGGUUGCAAAGAUUCAGAGAAGAGUGGGUGAUAUCCUUACCCUGCCUCUUGACCUAACAUGGGCACGAUUUGCCUGGCCCUCUCUGGAGGUCUGACUCCGUGAUCUAAGCUGCGGCAAAGAUGGCAUUACAAACCCCAGGGAUUGCUGAGAAGCGCUAAUGCUGCCUCUAUCCCAUACUCCCGUGACUCUGAAAGGCUCUUAUUUGCUCCCCCUUGCUGAGAAGGCAGCUGUGUUGUGGCGAUAUCGGUCCAUCCGACUUUACAGCAGCCUGCGAGGCCUCCUGUGACAUGGAAUAAUGUCCCAGAAAUCCAAACCGCCAGCGAGGCGCAGAGAUCAGCACGGCAUUUGUGGUUCUUGGGGCCGGACCCGAGGUCCGCCUGGGACAUCUCCAUGUAAAUGAAUGCUGGGGACAGGAUUUGGACAGCUUAAUCCUGCAUUGUAAGAAAGGCUGGAGCCAAUGUAAGUUCCAGACACGCUUUCAUUCAGAACUGGAAUAAAAUUUGACUAUCUUCAA